UCAGUGCUCGCUUGGCAGCACUAAAAUUGGAACGAUACAGAGAAGAUUAACAUGGCCCCUGAGCAAGGAUGACACACAGAUUCGUGAAGCGUUCCAUAUUUUU